rnacentral:rRNA from 1 species
UACGUAGGGUGCAAGCGUUAAUCGGAAUUACUGGGCGUAAAGCGUGCGCAGGCGGUUUUGUAAGUCUGUCGUGAAAUCCCCGGGCUCAACCUGGGAAUUGCGAUGGAGACUGCAAGGCUAGAAUCUGGCAGAGGGGGUAGAAUUCCACGUGUAGCGGUGGAAUGACGUAGAGAGUCGGGAAGAACACCCGUGGCGAAGGCGACCUACUGGGCUGCGACUGACGCUGGAGAAUGCGAAAGUGUGGGAGCAAACGGG